UACGAAGGGUGCAAGCGUUGUUCGGAAUAACUGGGCGUAAAGAGCGCGUAGGCGGGUAUGUAAGUUAUCUGUGAAAGCCCCGGGCUUAACCUGGGAAUUGCAGGUAAAACUGCAUAUCUUGAAUACUGCAGGGGAUGGUGGAAUUGCUGGUGGAGAAGUGAAAUUUAUAGAGAUCAGCAGGAACACCUGAGGCGAAGGCGGCCAUCUGGGCAUGUAUUGACGCUGUGGCGCGAAAGCGUGGGUAGCAAACAGGAUUAGAUACCCUGGUAGUCCACGCCGUAAACGAUGGAUACUAGGUGUUCGGAGUAUUAACCCUCUGAGUACCGAAGUUCACGCAUUAAGUAUCCCGCCUGGGGAGUACGGUCGCAAGGCUAAA
rnacentral:rRNA from 1 species